rnacentral:rRNA from 1 species
GAAACGACUGCUAAUACCGCAUAAGCCCACGGGUCGGCAUCGACUAGAGGGAAAAGGAGCAAUCCGCUUUGAGAUGGCCUCGCGUCCGAUUAGCUAGUUGGUGAGGUAACGGCCCACCAAGGCAACGAUCGGUAGCCGGACUGAGAGGUUGAACGGCCACAUUGGGACUGAGACACGGCCCAGACUCCUACGGGAGGCAGCAGUGGGGAAUAUUGCACAAUGGGGGAAACCCUGAUGCAGCGACGCCGCGUGGAGGAAGAAGGUCUUCGGAUUGUAAACUCCUGUUGUUGAGGAAGAUAAUGACGGUACUCAACAAGGAAGUGACGGCUAACUACGUGCCAGCAGCCGCGGUAAAACGUAGGUCACAAGCGUUGUCCGGAAUUACUGGGUGUAAAGGGAGCGCAGGCGGGAAGACAAGUUGGAAGUGAAAUCCAUGGGCUCAACCCAUGAACUGCUUUCAAAACUGUUUUUCUUGAGUAGUGCAGAGGUAGGCGGAAUUCCCGGUGUAGCGGUGGAAUGCGUAGAUAUCGGGAGGAACACCAGUGGCGAAGGCGGCCUACUGGGCACCAACUGACGCUGAGGCUCGAAAGUGUGGGUAGCAAACAGGAUUAGAUACCCUGGUAGUCCACACCGUAAACGAUGAUUACUAGGUGUUGGAGGAUUGACCCCUUCAGUG